UACGUAGGGGGCUAGCGUUGUCCGGAAUCACUGGGCGUAAAGCGCACGUAGGCGGCUUCUUAAGUCAGGGGUGAAAUCCUGGAGCUCAACUCCAGAACUGCCCUUGAUACUGAGGAGCUCGAGUCCGGAAGAGGUGAGUGGAACUGCGAGUGUAGAGGUGAAAUUCGUAGAUAUUCGCAAGAACACCAGUGGCGAAGGCGGCUCACUGGUCCGGUACUGACGCUGAGGUGCGAAAGCGUGGGGAGCAAACAGG
rnacentral:rRNA from 1 species